rnacentral:rRNA from 1 species
UACAGAGGGUGCUAGCGUUGUUCGGAAUCAUUGGGCGUAAAGGGCGUGUAGGCGGAUCGGUAAGUCUGCUGUGAAAGCCCCGGGCUCAACCUGGGAAUGGCAGUGGAUACUGGACAGCUAGAGUGCGGUAGAGGGUAGUGGAAUUCCCGGUGUAGCAGUGAAAUGCGUAGAGAUCGGGAGGAACACCAGUGGCGAAGGCGGCUACCUGGACCAGCACUGACACUGAAGCACGAAAGCGUGGGGAGCAAACAGG